CCUACGGGAGGCAGCAGUGAGGAAUAUUGGUCAAUGGACGAGAGUCUGAACCAGCCAAGUAGCGUGAAGGAUGACUGCCCUCUGUCUUGUAAACUUCUUUUAUAUGGGAAUAAAACGUUCCACGUGUGGGAUUUUGUAUGUACCAUAUGAAUAAGGAUCGGCUAACUCCGUGCCAGCAGCCGCGGUAAUACGGAGUAUCCGAGCGUUAUCCGGAUUUAUUGGGUUUAAAGGGAGCGUAGGUGGAUUGUUAAGUCAGUUGUGAAAGUGUGCGGCGCAACCGUAAAAUUGUAGUUGAAACUGGCAGUCUUGAGUACAGUAGAGGUGGGCGGAAUUCGUGGUGUAGCGGUGAAAUGCUUAGAUAUCACGAAGAACUCCGAUUGCGAAGGCAGUUCACUGGACUGCAACUGACACUGAGGCUCGAAAGUGUGGGUAUCAAACAGGAUUAGAUACCCCUGUAGUC
rnacentral:rRNA from 1 species